rnacentral:sRNA from 1 species
CGAGCACCGAGCGCCGCCGGGAGUCGAGCGCCGGCCGCGGAGCUCUUGCGACCCCGCCAGGACCCGAACAGAGCCCGGGGGCGGCGGGCCGGAGCCGGGGACGCGGGCACACGCCCGCUCGCACAAGCCACGGCGGACUCUCCCGAGGCGGAACCUCCACGCCGAGCGAGGGUCAGUUUGAAAAGGAGGAUCGAGCUCACUGUGGAGUAUCCAUGGAGAUGUGGAGCCUUGUCACCAACCUCUAACUGCAGAACUGGGAUGUGGAGCUGGAAGUGCCUCCUCUUCUGGGCUGUGCUGGUCACAGCCACACUCUGCACCGCUAGGCCGUCCCCGACCUUGCCUGAACAAGCCCAGCCCUGGGGAGCCCCUGUGGAAGUGGAGUCCUUCCUGGUCCACCCCGGUGACCUGCUGCAGCUUCGCUGUCGGCUGCGGGACGAUGUGCAGAGCAUCAACUGGCUGCGGGACGGGGUGCAGCUGGCGGAAAGCAACCGCACCCGCAUCACAGGGGAGGAGGUGGAGGUGCAGGACUCCGUGCCCGCAGACUCCGGCCUCUAUGCUUGCGUAACCAGCAGCCCCUCGGGCAGUGACACCACCUACUUCUCCGUCAAUGUUUCAGGUUGGUAGCCAAGCCCUGCCCUUGCCCCUCCCUAGACCCACCCCCUCCAACCCUCUCUGCCAGUUUCAGGGGAAGGUGAACCUCCUCCCCCUCCGUGAUCUGCCCCCACUCUGCUUCAGAAACUGCUGCCCACUAACAUUGCUCCCUGCCUGCCGCGUGGC